rnacentral:lncRNA from 1 species
GGGGAAGUUGAACGUCAGUGUGCAAUUCUAACAGGUCUUAGCCAGUCCUUCAAGAGCCCAGGAGCUAGAAUGGCUCUUCCAAGUUUUCCAGAAUUGAGACAAAAAGGCCAGGUCUUCGUACAUCUGCAUAGACCAGUUCUUUGAUGUGAGCUAACUCCAGUAAGAGGGUAUAACCUUGAGCAAAGCAGCUCCCUUUAUUCUAGAGCAAUCUCCAAAGUGGUACUCAGCCAUGAAAUGUCUACAGCCAAUACUUCUCGCAGGUGUGGAAAUGCACGCUUCAGACCUGAAGGGGCAACGCAGAAGGCAUACCACAGCAUCCACCACAUGCUUCCACAACAAUAAAAAAUAGUUUGGAUAUUACUUAGCUUAAUAGUUCGAAGAUGUGUCUGUAAAAGUCAGCAUAAUGUUCAGUGACCAGCAACUGCUGAGAUGGUAGCUGCUUCGUCAGGUACAUGAGUCCUCAGUUGACCCACAUGGAUAUAUUGUUGUUUCUGUUUCUACAGCAAAACCUAGCCUUCCCUGACAUCCAAAUCUCCAAAGGACAAGUUGUAUGUGAAAAUGCUUCUCCUUCUGUCCUUGGACAUCAAACUCCAGGUUCUUCAGCCUUUGGACUCUGGGAGUUGCACCAGCAUCCCCCUAGGGGCUCUCGGGCCUUCGGCCUCAGACUGAGUGAGGGCUGCACUGUCAGCUUCCCUGGUUUUGAGGCUUUCAGACUUUGACUGAGCCAUUACCUGCUUCUCUCUUUCCCCAGCUUGCAGGGGACUUCGCCUUGUAAUCAUGUGAUUCAAUUAUCCCUAAUAAACUCAUAUAUAUCCU